rfam:Oryza brachyantha chromosome 6, whole genome shotgun sequence.
UUGCAGUGAUGAGUAUCUCAAUUUUGAGAGCAGAUCUUGGUCUGCUUGAUGAGUCCGGGAAAUAAUCACAUUAUUUCCUCCUGAGCGGUUACCUGAGCAA